AGUAACGGCGAGUGAAGCGGGAAGAGCUCAAAUUUGAAAUCUGGUAGCCUUCGGUUGCCCGAGUUGUAAUCUAGAGAAGUGUUUUCCGUGCCGGCCCAUGUACAAGUCCCUUGGAACAGGGCGUCAUAGAGGGUGAGAAUCCCGUCCUUGACAUGGACCCCCGGUGCUUUGUGAUACACUUUCAACGAGUCGAGUUGUUUGGGAAUGCAGCUCAAAAUGGGUGGUGAAUUCCAUCUAAAGCUAAAUAUUGGCGAGAGACCGAUAGCGAACAAGUACCGUGAGGGAAAGAUGAAAAGCACUUUGGAAAGAGAGUUAAACAGUACGUGAAAUUGUUGAAAGGGAAACGAUUGAAGUCAGUCAUGCUCUUGGGACUUACCUCCCUUGAGUGGGGUCAACAUCAGUUUUGAUCGAUGGAUAAAGGCACGGGGAAGGUAGCACUCUCGGGUGAACUUAUAGCCUCGCGUCAUAUACAUUGAUUGGGACUGAGGAACGCAGCAUGCCUUAUGGCCGGGAUUCGUCCACGUACAUGCUUAGGAUGUUGACAUAAUGGCUUUAAACGACC
rnacentral:rRNA from 1 species